GCGGAUAUAUACAAACAUAUAUAUGUCUGUCAGUAAUGUGUAUUUACCGAUGGAUUUACCAACGUCGCGAUCCUUCGAUAAGCAUCUCAUAUUAGGGACUUGGGAAAUCAAAUUUCCCUCUUCUCUAACAUUUUGGUUUUUCAUCUUUGUUCACGUUCAUUCCCAAAGUCGUCACCCUCCGUGGCAUAGCUACCUUCGACGUGUGGUUCCCUAUUUGUAGAGGUAGAGUCGCGUUCCUCCAAUCACAAAGUUCUUCAUCUUGUUUUGCAUAGAGGCAUUCAAUUAGCCUUCGUUGGUGCUUGGUUGCCUCAUUCAUAAUGUUGUCGUCCCUCAUCAGCCUCUAUUGUGCCCUUUUUAUGCUUCACCAAAGCCCACGCC
rnacentral:lncRNA from 1 species